rnacentral:rRNA from 1 species
UACGUAGGGGGCGAGCGUUAUCCGGAUUCAUUGGGCGUAAAGCGCGCGUAGGCGGCCGCCUAAGCGGAACCUCUAACCCCGGGGCUCAACCUCGGGCCGGGUUCCGGACUGGGCGGCUCGAGUGCGGUAGAGGAGAGCGGAAUUCCCGGUGUAGCGGUGGAAUGCGCAGAUAUCGGGAAGGACACCGAUGGCGAAGGCAGCUCUCUGGGCCGUCACUGACGCUGAGGCGCGAAAGCUGGGGGAGCGAACAGG